rnacentral:rRNA from 1 species
GACGUAGGAUGCAAGCGUUGUCCGGAUUUAUUGGGCGUAAAGAGUUCGUAGGUGGUUUGUUAAGUCUGAUGUUAAAGACCGGGGCUCAACCUCGGAAAUGCAUUGGAUACUGGCAGACUGGAGUGCAGUAGAGGCUAGUGGAAUUCCCAGUGUAGCGGUGAAAUGCGUAGAUAUUGGGAAGAACACCGGUGGCGUAGGCGACUAGCUGGGCUGUAACUGACGCUGAGGAACGAAAGCCAGGGGAGCGAAUGGG